rnacentral:rRNA from 1 species
AUUGAACGCUGGCGGCAUGCCUUACACAUGCAAGCCGAACGGCAGCGCGGACUUCGGUCUGGCGGCGAGUGGCGAACGGGUGAGUAAUACAUCGGAACGUACCCUGUUGUGGGGGAUAACUAGUCGAAAGAUUAGCUAAUACCGCAUACGACCUGAGGGUGAAAGGGGGGGACCGCAAGGCCCCACGCAGCAGGAGCGGCCGAUGUCUGAUUAGCUAGUUGGUGGGGUAAAGGCCCACCAAGGCGACGAUCGGUAGCUGGUCUGAGAGGACGAUCAGCCACACUGGGACUGAGACCCGGCCCCUACGCCUACGGGAGGCAGCAGUGGGGAAUUUUGUACAAUGGGGGCAACCCUAAUCCAGCAAUGCCGCGUGUGUGAAGAAGGCCUUCGGGUUGUAAAGCACUUUUGUCCGGAAAGAAAUCGCGCUGGUUAAUACCUGGCGCGGAUGACGGUACCGGAAGAAUACGCACCGGCUAACUACGUGCCAGCAGCCGCAGUAA